rnacentral:rRNA from 1 species
GGGCCCGCACAAGCGGUGGAGCAUGUGGUUUAAUUCGAUGAUACGCGAGGAACCUUACCAGGGCUUAAAUGUAAGUUGCAUAAGUUAGAGAUAGCUUUUUCUUCGGACUACUUACAAGGUGCUGCAUGGUUGUCGUCAGCUCGUGCCGUGAGGUGUCAGGUUAAGUCCUAUAACGAGCGCAACCCCUGUUGUUAGUUGCCAUCGAGUAAUGUCGGGAACUCUAACAAGACUGCCGGUGCAAACCGUGAGGAAGGUGGGGAUGACGUCAAAUCAUCACGGCCCUUACGUCCUGGGCUACACACGUGCUACAAUGGUCGGUACAGAGAGCAGCCACUACGCGAGUAGGAGCGAAUCUUCAAAGCCGAUCACAGUUCGGAUCGGAGUCUGCAACUCGACUGCGUGAAGCUGGAAUCGCUAGUAAUCG